rnacentral:rRNA from 1 species
GAUGAACGCUAGCUACAGGCUUAACACAUGCAAGUCGAGGGGCAGCAAGAAUCACUUCGGUGAUUUGUUGGCGACCGGCGCACGGGUGAGUAACACGUAUCCAACCUGGCUUAUACUCAGGGAUAGCCUUUCGAAAGAAAGAUUAAUACUUGAUAGCAUAAAUUGACCGCAUGGUUGAUUUAUUAAAGAUUUAUUGGUAUGAGAUGGGGAUGCGUUCCAUUAGCUUGUUGGUAAGGUAACGGCUUACCAAGGCAUCGAUGGAUAGGGGUUCUGAGAGGAAGGUCCCCCACACUGGAACUGAGACACGGUCCAGACUCCUACGGGAGGCAGCAGAGAGGAAUAUUGGU